UGAAGGUGUUAACAUCUUAGAUAUUUUUAUGUUUAAAAAUGUUGAAUUUCGUGCCAAAAAAAACAUUUGCGGGAAGUUUUAAUUCAUUACUUUAUUUUGAAUAAAAGUACUGCUGAAAGUUAUCGUAUUCUUCAGGAAGCUUGUGGUGAACAUGCUUCAUUUCAAGAUACGUGUGCACACUGGUUUAAACGCUCUAAAAGUGAUGAUUUUGAUGUGAAAGACAAAGAAUGUCCAGGUCAAACAAAAAUGUUUGAUGAACAAC